rnacentral:rRNA from 1 species
UGGGGAAUAUUGCACAAUGGGCGCAAGCCUGAUGCAGCCAUGCCGCGUGUGUGAAGAAGGCCUUCGGGUUGUAAAGCACUUUCAGCGGGGAGGAAGGCGGUGAGGUUAAUAACCUCAUCGAUUGACGUUACCCGCAGAAGAAGCACCGGCUAACUCCGUGCCAGCAGCCGCGGUAAUACGGAGGGUGCAAGCGUUAAUCGGAAUUACUGGGCGUAAAGCGCACGCAGGCGGUCUGUCAAGUCGGAUGUGAAAUCCCCGGGCUCAACCUGGGAACUGCAUUCGAAACUGGCAGGCUAGAGUCUUGUAGAGGGGGGUAGAAUUCCAGGUGUAGCGGUGAAAUGCGUAGAGCUCUGGAGGAAUACCGGUGGCGAAGGCGGCCCCCUGGACAAAGACUGACGCUCAGGUGCGAAAGCGUGGGGAGCAAACAGG